rnacentral:sRNA from 1 species
UUUUGAAGCUCUUCUGGUGAGAUUCUACCGUCUCUGUUUGCAUCCAUGUA